GCGGUGUGGCCCACCCGAUUUUCUAAUCAGGUUGAGCCACACAUGAUGCACAGGUUUAAUGGAAGAUACACACUGAUCUACGGUUAGCGUUCCAUCACCAUUGUUCCCUAUGGUGUAGCCCACCUGAGUUGCCAUCUGGAUAAUUCUGGGUCCAAUGACCUGAUGGACGGUGUGGAUGCCACACAAACAACAUGAUCGGCCACGCAGCUUGGGUGUUUUAAGCUGGUAUUGUAGAGGAUUAUCAUCAAUCUGUGUGUAGCGCAACCCAUGUAAAUACUGCUUCAUGCAGCACAAGGCAGGGAAGAGAUCCACACCAUUUGUCCCAUGGGUCCCACUCGAGCGUGCGGCAGCACAUGAAGUUUUGCAAGCCACAUAGGCAUACUGGAUGAAAAUGUACACGUGGAAUUGGCAGCGUGGUAGAAGAUGUGAGAUCCAAACCGUCCACAAGGUAGGUGGCACCGUUCAAGAAGUUUCUCCGAAUAAAUCAAACUGGUACAGUCAUCAGAUGACACAAACUCUUGUGUAAUUAAUAGAUGGACAGGAACAAUCCACUCAAGUACAUGUGUGCGUCACACGCAAGUUCCUCCCAUUGUGGCGAACGGGAAGGGCCAGUGAGAUUGAAUUGCAUUGGGUCCAUUAUGUAUUUCUGGUGAAUUUUAAAAUUUACUGUACAUAUGGGCUUCGCAUUGACGCGUAUGAUUUAUCCACGUUGUGCCUUCGUAUA